CAUUCCAGUUUGUCGUGCUUCAAAACAACCAAUACGGUCAAAUCACGCGAGGAUGCACCUGAAGCACGUGAAACAAAUCAGCAUAUCUAUGACAACUCGCGUCUCUCAAAACUAAACACUAGACAGUCGUGUCCGUUUCCCAAAUAAGUAUCAGCAUGGCGGUUUUUAACCGGAAAAACGAGCCAACCGUCGCGCAUCGCAUCUCAGGUCCCAUGUAGACGCAUUUCCUAAAAUAAUUUGUUAAAUGCGCAGCUAACAUGGCGGACCCAAGUACCAACCAGCUAAUGGCUAUCAAGGACUCGCCGUGAAACUUCAAAAUGCAUUUUGAGGCCACGCCCACGCUGAGUGGUCUGCCCAACGACCCGGAAGGAAUCUUGAUCUCGGAAGACAACGAAGAUGAGCGCUCGGCGCUGACCGUCAGAGCUGCGGAAGGCGAAAAGCCAUGUCAGAUUUUAGAAUUCAUCGAUUUUGAUGUUCCGGCCAAGACACGAGGAAGACUCACCGGGAGAAGCAUGUCCAAAUAAACGAGGAAGUCCGACCUUUUGGUGAUGCGAGCCGGCUGCUGCAGCACUCGGUCGAGCUCCAGGCCUUCGCUGUCCAGCAGUCGGCGCAGGGCGAUGUCGGCCAGCUGCCCCACCACCC